GGGAAACUAUCUUGUAUCCAUGUUUAACAUGGGAGAAAGCACGGAAAUGCCCAUGCAGCCAGCCAGUUCGCCAGAAUUCGAACCUACUGUUUAGUGCCUUUACUGCUUGGCUGCUGGUGAGCACUGCAAUCUGAGGAAAAAUACAGUUAAACAUAGGGCUUGGAAAAUAGUAUGUGCUGAUAUUACAGCUAAAUUUAAAUAUUCUUUUUCUUAUAUGCCUGUGAUAAUUGUCAAUAAAUAUUUUUAUUUUUAGGCAUGCUUUUUAAGGGGCCUGAACCCUGUUGGGUUAUCAAAAGAAGAAAUGAUCACAUGGCUGUCUCAAUGGAUAUUUAUUGCGCAGAAUAUUGAAAGUAAAAGUCUGUCUGUCCUUUUACAUUGUCCAAUAUUUUUGUCUUAUAACUAUCCUAACAACUGGGUUCUCAUUCAUUAGAAAUAUGUAAAAAAGAAUUUAAACUGUUACAACAUCUAUUUAUAUGCAACAGAACUUUUGUAUAUAUUUGAAAAUAGACAUUUUGUGUAAAUCUGUAAAUUUCUAAGUGUAGUAAAUAAAAUAUUUAUUUGA